rnacentral:rRNA from 1 species
GCGUGCGCAGGCGGUUAUGUAAGACAGAUGUGAAAUCCCCGGGCCUCAACCUGGGAACUGCAUUUGUGACUGCAUGGCUAGAGUACGGUAGAGGGGGAUGGGAAUUCCGCGUGUAGCAGUGAAAUGCGUAGAUAUGCGGAGGAACACCGAUGGCGAAGGCAAUCCCCUCGGACCUGUACUGACGCUCAUGCACGAAAGCGUGGGGAGCAAACAGGAUUAGAUACCCUUGU